CUACGGGUCGCUGCAGUGAGGAAUAUUGCGCAAUGGGCGAAAGCCUGACGCAGCGACGCCGCGUGGAGGAUGAAGGCCUCCGGGUUGUAAACUUCUGUUAAGUGGGAAGAAAUCUUUGUAAAUAAUACGUGCAAAGGAUGACGGUACCAUUAGAGAAAGCACCGGCUAAUCUCGUGCCAGCAGCCGCGGUAAUACGAGAGGUGCAAGCGUUAUUCGGAAUUACUGGGCGUAAAGGGUGUGUAGGCGGCUUAUCAAGUCUACUGUUAAAUCUUCUGGCCUAACCAGAAGCUUGCGGUGGAACUGAUUUGCUAGAGAGCGGAAGAGAGAGGUGGAAUUCUCGGAGUAGCGGUAAAAUGCGUGGAUCUCGAGAGGAACACCAAUGGCGAAGGCAGCCUCUUGGUCCGUUUCUGACGCUGAGACACGAAAGCGUGGGGAGCAAACAGGAUUAGAUACCCGCGUAGUC
rnacentral:rRNA from 1 species